CGGAGGCAGCAGUGGGGAAUAUUGGUCAAUGGGCGCAAGCCUGAACCAGCCAUGCCGCGUGCAGGAAGACGGUCCUAUGGAUUGUAAACUGCUUUUAUUUGGGAAUAAACCUCUUUACGUGUAGAGAGCUGAAGGUACCAAAUGAAUAAGCACCGGCUAACUCCGUGCCAGCAGCCGCGGUAAUACGGAGGGUGCAAGCGUUAUCCGGAAUCAUUGGGUUUAAAGGGUCCGCAGGCGGGAAGAUAAGUCAGUGGUGAAAUCUCACAGCUCAACUGUGAAACUGCCAUUGAUACUGUCUUUCUUGAAUUCGAUCGAAGUGGGCGGAAUGUGACAUGUAGCGGUGAAAUGCUUAGAUAUGUCACAGAACACCGAUAGCGAAGGCAGCUCACUAGGUCUGGAUUGACGCUCAGGGACGAAAGCGUGGGGAGCAAACAGGAUUAGAUACCCCGGUAGUCC
rnacentral:rRNA from 1 species